CGUAGGUGAACCUGCGGAGGGAUCAUUACUGAGUUUACGCUCUACAACGCUUUGUGAACAUACCUACAACUGUUGCUUCGGCGGGUAGGGUCUCCGCGACCCUCCCGGCCUCCCGCCUCCGGGCGGGUCGGCGCCCGCCGGAGGAUAACCAAACUCUGAUUUAACGACGUUUCUUCUGAGUGGUACAAGCAAAUAAUCAAAACUUUUAACAACGGAUCUCUUGGUUCUGGCAUCGAUGAAGAACGCAGCGAAAUGCGAUAAGUAAUGUGAAUUGCAGAAUUCAGUGAAUCAUCGAAUCUUUGAACGCACAUUGCGCCCGCCAGCAUUCUGGCGGGCAUGCCUGUUCGAGCGUCAUUUCAACCCUCAAGCUCUGCUUGGUGUUGGGGCCCUACAGCCGAUGUAGGCCCUCAAAGGUAGUGGCGGACCCUCCCGGAGCCUCCUUUGCGUAGUAACUUUACGUCUCGCACUGGGAUCCGGAGGGACUCUUGCCGUAAAACCCCCCAAUUUUCCAAAGGUUGACCUCGGAUCAGGUAGGAAUACCCGCUGAACUUAAGCAUAUCA
rnacentral:rRNA from 1 species